GCACCUGAAUCUUUCCCAUGCCUGGAAGAACCAGUGUGGGCAUGGGGACACAUGGUGCUAAAGCAAAAGCCGAGGAUAUCCAGACAAGUCACUUUCCUCUCUUGUUGAGGGCUUGUCCCUACACCUCAGCUACAGAC